CUUUAAUAAUAAUAAAGUUAAUAGAGGAAUCCUGUUCAUAAAUAAAUCCAAAUAUUAUCAUCUUUGUCUAUCAAAGUUUGUUUUUCCCACCACUAUUUUCUUUAUUCUCACCCCGUUUCCUGUUCCUAAAAUAGCCUCAUUCUACGUCCCGCAAAACGUACUGUGAACCUCUUUGUAUAUUAAUGUAAUCUCGGGACGUCCGCUCUCCUCUUUAUGCUGAGAGUACACAAACACCAACCUCGUUCCCAGACAAACACUUCCGAAAUAGACUUAUU